UUUAAAUCAUUAAUACUAUUAUUUGAAUUUUCAACACUCGUUUUUUUAGUUAAUAUUAAUAAUGAAAAAAUAAUGCAGAAAAAUUUGAGAAAAUACUUUUAUAUAAAAUUUAUUUUACUAAAACUCUAGUACAAUCAUUACAAAAUAAAAAUAAAAGUUAGAGAAAAUAAAACAAAUGAAAAUAUCUAUAUAUAUAAUAGAAAAAAUAUAAGUCUCAAAAUCUAAUAGAUCAAUUGACAUAUACGACAUCCUUGUUAAUUAAAAUUUUAACACAUAUGAAAUUCUUAUGAGAAACACUUCAUUUCUCGUCUCCAUGAAAUUGUAGAAAUCUAUACAAGAAAAUCAAGCAAGACUUUUCGAUAGUCAUCAAAAUUUUAUCUCUAAGAAUAUUCAAAACUUCACUACUCCAUAAUUGACAAAAGUAUCAAACAAAAACCUAAAAAGAAGUUUAUACAACCCCAAAAACCUCGAUCACACAUUCUGUUUUUUUUUUUUUUCAUUCUUAUCGAUUUGUUUUCCUUGUUCCUACGUGCCAAGCCAAACGCACGAAAACUUCUCCCCUCCUCCUCCCUCCCUUAAGAGAAGAAGAUAGAAACUGUGGAGUUGACGCGUGUACAGUGUUUACAUAGACCCUACUCGUGUUGGCUCUUUCUCCUCCCUAAUCUUUCCAAAACACUUUUUUUCUUAUAACAAAAACGAAGAAGAUUCGUCUUCGAGCUGUGAACCCCACAUCCCAAUCACACACAUACACACACAGAGAAGAAAAAAAAGAAAGAAAGAAAAAAAAUGCUCAUUAUAGGGGCCGUGUAGUUCCACAAAUAGCAGGACCCCAUGUGUCCCCCUCUUAGGUCUUAAGUCAAGAAAGCAGCCAAUCCUAUAAUUGUUACAAUUUUCCACGACUCUCUCUUUCUCACCUUUAUACAUUUAUAUUUUUCUUCUCUCCCAUUUACUCCAUCAACUCCAAUUAUACAAAUCCUAUAAGGCCACC
rnacentral:lncRNA from 1 species